CCAAUAGCGUAUAUUAAUGUUGUUGCGGGGAAACAGGACUGUUACUUUGAAAAAAUUAGAGUGUUUAAAGCAGGCUAACGCCUGAAUACAUUAGCAUGGAAUAAUGAAAUAGGACGUUGAUCCUAUUUUGUUGGUUUCUAGGGUUGACGUAAUGAUUAAUAGGGACAGUUGGGGGCAUUAGUAUUCAAUUGUCAGAGGUGAAAUUCUUGGAUUUAUUGAAGACUAACUACUGCGAAAGCAUUUGCCAAGGAUGUUUUCAUUAAUCAAGAACGAAAGUUAGGGGAUCGAAGACGAUCAGAUACCGUCGUAGUCUUAACCAUAAACUAUGCCGACUAGGGAUCGGAUGAUGUUAAUUUUAUAAUGACUCAUUCGGCGCCUUACG
rnacentral:rRNA from 1 species